rnacentral:rRNA from 1 species
CCACGGGAGGCUGCAGUGGGGAAUAUUGGACAAUGGGCGAAAGCCUGAUCCAGCCAUGCCGCGUGUGUGAAGAAGGCCUUCGGGUUGUAAAGCACUUUCAGUGGGGAAGAAAGCCUUGGGGCUAAUACCCUCGAGGAAGGACAUCACCCACAGAAGAAGCACCGGCUAACUCCGUGCCAGCAGCCGCGGUAAUACGGAGGGUGCGAGCGUUAAUCGGAAUUACUGGGCGUAAAGCGCGCGUAGGCGGUCUGAUAAGCCGGUUGUGAAAGCCCCGGGCUCAACCUGGGAACGGCAUCCGGAACUGUCAGGCUAGAGUGCAGGAGAGGAAGGUAGAAUUCCCGGUGUAGCGGUGAAAUGCGUAGAGAUCGGGAGGAAUACCAGUGGCGAAGGCGGCCUUCUGGACUGACACUGACGCUGAGGUGCGAAAGCGUGGGUAGCAAACAGGAUUAGAUACCCGUGUAGUC